AGAAACAGGGCAGCACGGGGAGAGCCGGAGGUGCAGGAGUCACAGGGGGUUGCCAACUCUGGUCUUGCCGAUCUCAUCAUUCCCCAGCUUGUGGUUUCAAGAAGCCAGGCGCACACGAGUGAGCAGCUGCAACAGAGCCUGCACAGACUCCAGCCACCCUGCACCAGCAUCCUGCCUCGAUUCUCCUUCACAGCUUUCUUGCUCCCUGAGUAUCCCAUUGGCAUGAGGCAUAGAAGGGAAAGAAAUGUGCACUCACACUGUUGUAACCCCUCGCUGACCCCCAUCAGAAGGAAAGGCCGAACACAGAAGCCAGCCUCUGGUCUGAAGAGACAAAUGCAGACACCCUCUCAUGGAAGAUACCGUGCUAAAAUAUUCCCUUUCCCUAUUGCAUCUCCAUUAAACUUUGCUGAAGGUGAUGCUGAGAUAAGAUGGGCCCAGAAAAAUCAAUGGGUGCAAAUUCAUAAGAAAUAAAC
ensembl:lncRNA